UGGGUAGUACAGAGGGUUGCCAAACCGUAAGGUGGAGCUAAUCCCUUAAAGCUACUCUCAGUUCGGAUUGUAGGCUGAAACUCGCCUACAUGAAGCUGGAGUUACUAGUAAUCGCAGAUCAGAAUGCUGCGGUGAAUGCGUUCCCGGGUCUUGUACACACCGCCCGUCACACCACGGGAGUUGGAGACGCCCGAAGCCGAUUAUCUAACCUUUUGGAAGAAGUCGUCGAAGGUGGAAUCAAUAACUGGGGUGAAGUCGUAACAAGGUAGCCGUAUCGGAAGGUGCGGCUGGAUC
rnacentral:rRNA from 1 species